rnacentral:rRNA from 1 species
AACGUAGGAGACAAACGUUAUCCGGAGUUACUGGGCGUAAAGGGCGUGCAGGCGGUCGACUAAGUCUGGCGUGAAAGCUCUCGGCUAAACCGGGAGAGGUCGUUGGAUACUGGUUGACUAGAGGACGGUAGAGGCGUGUGGAAUUCCGGGUGUAGUGGUGAAAUGCGUAGAUAUCUGGAGGAACACCGGUGGCGAAGGCGGCAUCCUGGACCAAUACUGACGCUGAGGAGCGAAAGCCAGGGGAGCAAACGGGG